GACCAUCCUCCAAGGCUAAAUACUCCUGACUGACCGAUAGUGAACCAGUACCGUGAGGGAAAGGCGAAAAGAACCCCGGCGAGGGGAGUGAAAAAGAACCUGAAACCGUGUACGUACAAGCAGUGGGAGCACCUUCGUGGUGUGACUGCGUACCUUUUGUAUAAUGGGUCAGCGACUUAUAUUCUGUAGCAAGGUUAACCGUAUAGGGGAGCCGAAGGGAAACCGAGUCUUAACUGGGCGUUAAGUUGCAGGGUAUAGACCCGAAACCCGGUGAUCUAGCCAUGGGCAGGUUGAAGGUUGGGUAACACUAACUGGAGGACCGAACCGACUAAUGUUGAAAAAUUAGCGGAUGACUUGUGGCUGGGGGUGAAAGGCCAAUCAAACCGGGAGAUAGCUGGUUCUCCCCGAAAGCU
rnacentral:rRNA from 1 species